CAGCUGUGUUUCCUAGAUGAUGAAAUUAUUGCAAGCAUUUGAGUUGAGAAGUGCAAAGCGGAUCCGCGAUCAAUUAUUAGAUAAUAAAAGAAUAUCAAGCAGUUAGUAUAAUGCAUAGUUCUACAGUGGAAAGCGACAAUGUGCCUAAAGAAGAGGAAGUGGAAAUUAUGACAGAAAAUCUACGUUAUGAAAAUAAUGACAAGGGAAUGCGGCCCACAAAAAGAAGACAAUUUCUUUGGUGUUAUGAUCGAUUCAAUAACUGAGGACCAGUUGAGAAAGGCCUUGCAGCUCCAAAAAAUAAACGAUAUUUUAAAACUCAAGUUGCC